AUUGAACGCUGGCGGCAUGCCUUACACAUGCAAGUCGAACGGUAACAGGUCUUCGGAUGCUGACGAGUGGCGAACGGGUGAGUAAUACAUCGGAACGCGCCCGAUCGUGGGGGAUAACGGAGCGAAAGCUUUGCUAAUACCGCAUACGAUCUACGGAUGAAAGCAGGGGACCGCACGGCCUUGCGCGGACGGAGCGGCCGAUGGCAGAUUAGGUAGUUGGUGGAUAAAAGCUUACCAAGCCGACGAUCUGUAGCUGGUCUGAGAGGACGACCAGCCACACUGGGACUGAGACACGGCCCAGACUCCUACGGGAGGCAGCAGUGGGGAAUUUUGGACAAUGGGCGAAAGCCUGAUCCAGCCAUGCCGCGUGCAGGAUGAAGGCCUUCGGGUUGUAAACUGCUUUUGUACGGAACGAAAAGCCUCUUUCUAAUAAAGAGAGGUCAUGACGGUACCGUAAGAAUAAGCACCGGCUAACUACGUGCCAGCCGCCGCGGUAAUAC
rnacentral:rRNA from 1 species